rnacentral:rRNA from 1 species
GACGAACGCUGGCGGCGUGCUUAACACAUGCAAGUCGAACGGAAAGGCCCUGCUCUUGUGGGGUGCUCGAGUGGCGAACGGGUGAGUAACACGUGAGUAACCUGCACUUGACUUUGGGAUAACUUCAGGAAACUGGGGCUAAUACCGGAUAGGAGCUCCUGCUGCAUGGUGGGGGUCGGAAAGUUUCGGCGGUUGGGGAUGGACUCGCGGCUUAUCAGCUUGUUGGUGGGGUAGUGGCUUACCAAGGCUUUGACGGGUAGCCGGCCUGAGAGGGUGACCGGCCACAUUGGGACUGAGGUACGGCCCAGACUCCUACGGUAGGCAGCAGUGGGGAAUAUUGCACAAUGGGCGGAAGCCUGAUGCGACAGCGCCGCGUGCGGGAUGACGGCCUUCGGGUUGUAAACCGCUUUCGCCUGUGACGAAGCGUGAGUGACGGUAAUGGGUAAAGAAGCACCGGCUAACUACGUG